rnacentral:rRNA from 1 species
CCCCGCUGGAAUUUNUUACAUAUAACUAAGCGGAGGAAAAGAAACUAACGAGGAUUCCCCCAGUAACGGCGAGUGAAGCGGGAAGAGCUCACGUUGUGAAUCUGGCCCUCGGGCCCGAACUGUACUCUGUAGAGGCGUGGCCAGCCGCUGUCCGCGGCCAAGUCUGAUUGGAAAUGAGCAUCACGGAGGGUGACAAUCCCGUCCAUGCCGCGGUAUCGAUCAGCGCGCGUCCGGCCCGCUUUCGACGAGUCGAGUUGCUUGGGAUUGCAGCUCAAAGUGGGUGGUAAACUCCAUCCAAAGCUAAACACGGGGGGGAGACCGAUAGCGAACAAGUACCGUGAGGGAAAGAUGCAAAGAACUUUGAAAAGAGAGUUAAAGAGUGCCUGAAAUUGCUGGAAGGGAAGCGAAGGAAAGAAGUGUGGUAGGCCGCCCGGCCGCGGUCAGGGGCAGCGCCGGGCUCGCGAGAGGAGCCGCGGGGGAUCGGUAGGCGCCUCGCUUCGGCGGAGCGUUGUCAGGCCCCCGCGUCGCUGUGUCGCGGGCGCGGCCCCCGUGUCUGGCGGUCGCGGCUUUUCUUCACCCCGUCUUGAAACACGGACCAAGGAGUCUAGCGUGGACGCGAGUAUAGGGGUGCUCAAACCCCCUUGCGCAAUGAAGGUGAACGCCGGUGGGAGGCCGAACAACGGCCAGCACCAUCGACCGAGCUUGUCCCCCCGGGGGCAGGGCUUGCGUGUGAGCGUGCAUGCUGGGACCCGAAAGAUGGUGAACUAUGCCUGAAUAGGGCGAAGCCAGGGGAAACUCUGGUGGAGGCUCGUAGCGAUUCUGACGUGCAAAUCGAUCGUGAGAUUUGGGUAUAGGGGCGAAAGACUAAUCGAACCAUCUAGUAGCUGGUUCCCUCCGAAAUUUCCCUCAGGAUAGCAGCGGCCGAGCGAGACCAGUUUUAUCAGGUAAAGCGAAUGAUUAGAGGCUGCGGGGGAGUAACUCCCUCGCCCUAUUCUCAAACUUUAAAUGGGUAAGGAGCCGGGGUCGCUUAUUUGGANCCUCUCGGCAUGGAAUGGCUGGUCGUUAGUGGGCCAGUCNGGGUAAGCUGGACUGGCCA